rnacentral:tRNA from 1 species
GGGGGAUUAGCUCAGCUGGCUAGAGCACCUGCCCUGCAAGCAGGGGGUCAUCGGUUCGAAUCCGUUAUCCUCCA